UGGGGAAUAUUGCACAAUGGGCGCAAGCCUGAUGCAGCCAUGCCGCGUGUGUGAAGAAGGCCUUCGGGUUGUAAAGCACUCUCAGCGAGGAGGAAGGGUUCAGUGUUAAUAGCACUGUUCAUUGACGUUACUCGCAGAAGAAGCACCGGCUAACUCCGUGCCAGCAGCCGCGGUAAUACGGAGGGUGCAAGCGUUAAUCGGAAUUACUGGGCGUAAAGCGCACGCAGGCGGUUUGUUAAGUCAGAUGUGAAAUCCCCGCGCUUAACGUGGGAACUGCAUUUGAAACUGGCAAGCUAGAGUCUUGUAGAGGGGGGUGAGAAUUCCAGGUGUAGCGGUGAAAUGCGUAGAGAUCUGGAGGAAUACCGGUGGCGAAGGCGGCCCCCCUGGACAAAGACUGACGCUCAGGUGCGAAAGCGUGGGGAGCAAACAGGAUUAGAUACCCU
rnacentral:rRNA from 1 species